rnacentral:hammerhead_ribozyme from 1 species
AUCCAGUUGAUGAGUCCCAUAUAGGACGAAACGCGCAUCCUGGAU